ACUCAAAUGAAUUGACGGGGGCCCGCACAAGCGGUGGAGCAUGUGGUUCAAUUCGACGCAACGCGAAGAACCUUACCUGGGCUCGAACGGCUUAAGAACAUUCUUGGAAACAGGGACUUCCCGCAAGGGACUUGAGUCGAGGUGCUGCAUGGCUGUCGUCAGCUCGUGUCGUGAGAUGUUGGGUUAAGUCCCGCAACGAGCGCAACCCUUGUCCUGUGUUGCCACUCCCCUUAAAAGGAAGCACUCGCAGGAGACCGCCAGCGAUAAGCUGGAGGAAGGUGGGGAUGAUGUCAAGUCAUCAUGGCCUUUAUGUCCAGGGCUACACACGUGCUACAAUGGCCGGUACAAAGCGCUGCAAACCCGCGAGGGGGAGCUAAUCGCAAAAAACCGGUCUCAGUUCGGAUCGCAGGCUGCAACUCGCCUGCGUGAAGCUGGAAUCGCUAGUAAUGCCGUAUCAGAACGAUGGCGUGAAUACGUUCCCGGGCCUUGUACACACCGCCCGU
rnacentral:rRNA from 1 species